rnacentral:rRNA from 1 species
GCACCUUCCGAUACGGCUACCUUGUUACGACUUUACCCCAGUCAUGAACCCUGCCGUGGCAGUCGCCCUCCUUGCGGUUAGGCUAACGGCUUCUGGCAAAACCCACUCCCAUGGUAUGACGGGCGGUGUGUACAAGACCCGGGAACGUAUCCACCGCGACAUUCUGAUCCGCGAUUACUAGCGAUUCCAGCUUCACGUAGUCGAGUUGCAGACUACGAUCCGGACUACGAUGCAUUUUCUGAGAUUAGCUCCCCCUCGCGGGUUGGCAACCCUCUGUAUGCACCAUUGUAUGACGUGUGAAGCCCUACCCAUAAGGGCCAUGAGGACUUGACGUCAUCCCCACCUUCCUCCGGUUUGUCACCGGCAGUCUCUUUAGAGUGCUCUUGCGUAGCAACUAAAGACAAGGGUUGCGCUCGUUGCGGGACUUAACCCAACAUCUCACGACACGAGCUGACGACAGCCAUGCAGCACCUGUGUUCACUUUCCCUUACGGGCACAUAAUGUAUCUCUACUUCGUUAGUGACAUGUCAAGGGUAGGUAAGGUUUUUCGCGUUGCAUCGAAUUAAUCCACAUCAUCCACCGCUUGUGCGGGUCCCCGUCAAUUCCUUUGAGUUUUAAUCUUGCGACCGCACUCCCCAGGCGGCUGACUUCACGCGUUAGCU